ACAUACAUACAUACAUACACACACACACACACACACACACUUCCUGUCCAGAAUAGUUCCAUAGAAUUGGGCUGUGCAGCCGGUCUCUUUUGUGGGUUUCCAAUACAACGAAAAAGUCUCCAAGAACGGUUCAUGGGAAAGCUAGUUGUGUGCCACUUGUUUGGGAGUUGGGUUUCACCAAACACCGCCUCUUUCGGAUGGUUUGGGAUGAUCUUGGAAGUCUCAGCGGUGUUCGGGCCGUUGAGUGUCCGUAAACAGUUCCAUACACUCGCCGACCAAACACCGUUGGACGUGUUCGACAAAACAAGAUGGGCGCCACCACGUGUUUGUGUAUACGAAUCAAUGGUCACCCAGUGAACCACUUAGAGCAUUCAGAGUUGCGGUUAGCGAAGUACCAGUAAG